rnacentral:tRNA from 1 species
GACUUCAUGGCUCAAUGGAUAAGGCGCUGGUCUACGGAACAAGAUAUUUUGGGUUUGAUCCCCAGUGAAGUUG